ACACAAAAACAGUAGCAUUACAAUGAGUGGUUACGUAAUCUUGUAAAUGGCUAUAGAGUUGCUGUCGGGUGCUUUCUUUUAUCGGGUUCGUGCCAGUUGUACCGAUAAGAAUCUGACGCACUCAUAAUGGAACAGGUUGUACUAGCAGAGCCGAACUGGCACUCGUGGAUAGUUAUUUCAAACGUACCACUUGGAUUCAAGAUGGCGCGACUGUGAUUCUUCAGUUGUCAUGCAAGUAAACUUUUUGACGGAGACUCUUCAUUAGCAAAGAAAUUUUAUAGAUUGUGUAUGUCAGGAUUAAUUAGAAGAUAUCGAUUUUACAUCCGUUAAGUCGUAAAGAAGGAAAUCAUUCGGUUUUUGGUAGCGACAGCCGACAUCUUGGAAUUUCGCUGGAUAUUCAAGUCUGUUCCAUUUUAUGAUACUGUUACUAUUUGGUAGAAAUGGUACUAACCCGAUAAUGGAACGCAAUCAGACGUCUUGUUUUGUUUAUGUUUGACUAACCUGCUUAAGGAGAACGAUGGACUUAUUAAAGUCUUGAUCCUGAGGAAAGAGAAAAAAUACUUAAUAUUUUGCGGAGCAAAAAGCAUCCUACUUACGAUGGCUGUAUGCUUCCGAAAUUUCGCCCGCUAUUGGCCGGUCCUGAAAAACACAUGGAGGCAAUUAGGGACUUUGACUCAAGGGAAUCAGAUAUACUGCUCUGUACAUUCCCCAAAGCAGGGACACAUUGGGUACACGAGAUCGUGUCGAUGAUCCUACAGGAAGGAGCACAGUAUACCAGUGGUCAUAAAGGCAAUGUUAUGCUGGAAGCUAUCAACCUUGAAGAAUUAAAUGAUCGUCCUUCGCCACGUUUACUCAAUACACACGUAACAUUUCGUCAUAUCCCAAAGAAACACGUAGAUAACGGAUACAAAAUCAUUCAUGUAUCAAGAAACCCAAAGGAUGUGAUGGUGUCAUUUUACAACCACAUCAAGAACGAUCCGGCGACAGUCUGUACAGAGGAAGAUUUUCCUGGAACUUGGAACGAUUUUAUACAUGAAAUGUGUGCAAACAAACAUA